AGCAGAAACCCUAACCUGCUCGCUGUGACCCUGAGGAAAGUACACCACGAGGCUCCCGACCGGCGGCAACGUGACGAGCGGUCCCGCACACGCGUGCCAUAGCUCAGGGUUGAUGCUCUUUCUCUCUCCUGCAAUAACAUGUGUUGGCAGUCGCCGGCGCCGCUGCACUAUUCGCCGGCGCCUUCAUUGUAAGGAUUCCGACAAUCUCUCCCUCCCUUACGUCUCACUUAGCUGAAUAAGUUUGAAAACUUCAACUGAUCAUUUUUCACAGAACAAAGGAAUUAAUUUGGAACUUUCAAGGAACAGAACGGAAA